rnacentral:rRNA from 1 species
GCAGUCGAGCGAAUGGAUUAAGAGCUUGCUCUUAUGAAGUUAGCGGCGGACGGGUGAGUAACACGUGGGUAACCUGCCCAUAAGACUGGGAUAACUCCGGGAAACCGGGGCUAAUACCGGAUAACAUUUUGAACCGCAUGGUUCGAAAUUGAAAGGCGGCUUCGGCUGUCACUUAUGGAUGGACCCGCGUCGCAUUAGCUAGUUGGUGAGGUAACGGCUCACCAAGGCAACGAUGCGUAGCCGACCUGAGAGGGUGAUCGGCCACACUGGGACUGAGACACGGCCCAGACUCCUACGGGAGGCAGCAGUAGGGAAUCUUCCGCAAUGGACGAAAGUCUGACGGAGCAACGCCGCGUGAGUGAUGAAGGCUUUCGGGUCGUAAAACUCUGUUGUUAGGGAAGAACAAGUGCUAGUUGAAUAAGCUGGCACCUUGACGGUACCUAACCAGAAAGCCACGGCUAACUACGUGCCAGCAGCCGCGGUAAUACGUAUGUGGCAAGCGUUAUCCGGAAUUAUUGGGCGUAAAGCGCGCGCAGGUGGUUUCUUAAGUCUGAUGUGAAAGCCCACGGCUCAACCGUGGAGGGUCAUUGGAAACUGGGAGACUUGAGUGCAGAAGAGGAAAGUGGAAUUCCAUGUGUAGCGGUGAAAUGCGUAGAGAUAUGGAGGAACACCAGUGGCGAAGGCGACUUUCUGGUCUGUAACUGACACUGAGGCGCGAAA